ACGAUAAAGAUCAUGCUAACUAAGGUUCUGACGCUGAACAAAACUGCUGAUUUGCAUUUGUAUUUGGAAGGUCUUGGUGACUUUAAAAACAGAAAAUUCAGAUUGGACAUCUAAAUUCUUCCAACUGACUUUAAAAAUGUUUACGUUGAUAUCGUUAUCAGUAUGCGUAUGUAGGAGAAUAUAUCCAUAUAUGACUUUAUUCUUUUAGGGAAACAACAAGAGCUGCGCAUACUGCUAAUAUAGUUAAAUUUCAAGCGUUCAUUAUUGCCAUUAAAUAGGUUACCGCUAAGCAUGGGAAUAAAAAGCACCUAAUGUGCUACUAUAAAGCGAAGGAUGAUUAAUUCAUACCUUGUCCUCCAUAGCAAAACAUGUUACAUUUGCAAAGUCUUUUCUGAGAAGGAACAUUGCCGUAUUUAGGAACAAUAUAAAUAAAUCUUACAAUCAUAGCAUUAUUAUAGUCUAAGGCUCCGGUAUCGUUAUGAAGAACAUGUCACAAAACCUGUAUGCCAUACAUUCAUCCUAAAUUCACAAAUUACAGUGUCCAUUACCUAGAUAUUAUAUCAAAUAGCGACAUUAUCAGCAUACAACACCA